UGUCAUACACUUGUUAUUGCUGCCAUGCUGCCUCACUACAUCAUGGUUGCACUGUGUUUCUGUAGACCUCUGCUGACAACAAAAGAAACAUGGUGCGACCAUGAUGUCGUGAGGAAGCACGACAACAAUGACAAGUGUAUGACA
rnacentral:pre_miRNA from 1 species